UCUUCCGUCCGCCAUGGCGUCCGCGGGAAUUCGAUUCUGGCCUAACACAUGCAAUUGGUACGUAAAGCCCUCACCCUUCUGGCGUUCUUGAGUGGUGAUCCGUUGAGUAACACUUGGGUCAUUUUCCCUGCCCCUUGGGAUAAGCUUGGGCAUCUGGGUCUAAUUCCGAAUAUGCCCCCUUCUUGGCUGUUGUGGUGGAAAGCUUUUUCGUUGUGGGAUGAGCCUUCGCCCUCUCAACUUGUUGUUGGG
rnacentral:rRNA from 1 species